rnacentral:rRNA from 1 species
AACGUAGGACGCAAGCGUUAUCCGGAGUUACUGGGCGUAAAGCGCGGGCAGGCGGUCUUGCCAGUCUGAUGUGAAAUCUCCUCGCUCAACGGGGAGCAGCCAUUGGAAACUACAAGACUGGAGUCUGGCAGAGGUAGGCGGAAUCCGGGUGGAGUGGUGAAAUGCGUAGAGAUCCGGAGGAACACCAGAGGCGAAGGCGGCCUACUGGGCCAGUACGUGACGCUGAGCCGCGAAAGCCAGGGGAGCGGAACGGG